GACGAACGCUGGCGGCGUGCCUAACACAUGCAAGUCGAACGGAGCUGCUUCGAUUGAUUCCUUCGGGAUGAUUUUGAUUCAGCUUAGUGGCGGACGGGUGAGUAACGCGUGAGCAACCUGCCUUUCAGAGGGGGACAACAGUUAGAAAUGACUGCUAAUACCGCAUAAUAUCCUUUUGGGGCAUCCCUUUUGGAUCAAAGAUUUAUUGCUGAAAGAUGGGCUCGCGUCUGAUUAGCUAGUUGGUGGGGUAACGGCCCACCAAGGCGACGAUCAGUAGCCGGACUGAGAGGUUGAACGGCCACAUUGGGACUGAGAUACGGCCCAGACUCCUACGGGAGGCAGCAGUGGGGAAUAUUGGGCAAUGGGGGAAACCCUGACCCAGCAACGCCGCGUGAGGGAAGAAGGUCUUCGGAUUGUAAACCUCUU
rnacentral:rRNA from 1 species